GCUACGUCACGCAUUACAAUUAGAUCUAGCCAAUCGUCACUCGACACGAGAAAUAUAUAAGGUCUUUACUCACCCUUCCUUGUGUUUGCAGAAACUGACAUUGACGUUCCCUGCUCAAGCUGUCGCUUGACUUAUUGCCCGACUUUCCCUGGGUUACUUGCAUAUAUCAUUGUUUCAUUUGCAUCUACAACAAUCACUAGAUGCCUUGUACCGGAAUGGGAUGCAGAGAACUGUGCCUCUCACCUCAUCUUUACACAGGUCAUUCUUUUGGACUGGCGCUAUUAUGAAUGCAGUCUCUAUGAAGCCAACGUAUACAUGGUCAUUCUCCCAUUCGAGUCUAGAAACUGACAUUGACGUUCCCCUCCAUCCUCCCCACCACCACCAUGUUAGCCCUGUCCAUGCGGGGGGUAGGCUCCGCCCCUGUCUUCGUCUCGGCAGUAAUAGCUGAAUCUUCAACCUACGGAUUGAAGCUACGGAUGGG